rnacentral:rRNA from 1 species
CCUACGGGGGGCAGCAGUGGGGAAUAUUGGACAAUGGGGGGAACCCUGAUCCAGCCAUGCCGCGUGUGUGAAGAAGGCCCUCGGGUUGUAAAGCACUUUCAGUGAGGAAGAACGCCUGGUGGUUAAUACCCAUCAGGAAAGACAUCACUCACAGAAGAAGCACCGGCUAACUCCGUGCCAGCAGCCGCGGUAAUACGGAGGGUGCGAGCGUUAAUCGGAAUUACUGGGCGUAAAGCGCGCGUAGGUGGCUUGAUAAGCCGGUUGUGAAAGCCCCGGGCUCAACCUGGGAACGGCAUCCGGAUCUGUCAAGCUAGAGUGCAGGAGAGGAAGGUAGAAUUCCCGGUGUAGCGGUGAAAUGCGUAGAGAUCGGGAGGAAUACCAGUGGCGAAGGCGGCCUUCUGGACUGACACUGACACUGAGGUGCGAAAGCGUGGGUAGCAAACAGGAUUAGAUACCCGAGUAGUC